rnacentral:rRNA from 1 species
GGACUACUGGGGUAUCUAAUCCUGUUUGCUCCCCACGCUUUCGCGCCUCAGCGUCAGUUAAAGACCAGGUCGCCGCCUUCGCCACCGGUGUUCUUUCCAAUAUCUACGAAUUUCACCUCUACACUGGAAAUUCCACGACCCUCUUCUUCACUCAAGUCCAUACGUAUCAAAUGCAGUCCCCAGGUUGAGCCCAGGAAUUUCACAUCUGACUGUAUAAACCGCCUACGCGCCCUUUACGCCCAGUCAUUCCGAGCAACGCUAGCCCCCUUCGUAUUACCGCGGCUGCUGGCAC